rnacentral:rRNA from 1 species
CCUACGGGAGGCAGCAGUGGGGAAUUUUGGACAAUGGGGGCAACCCUGAUCCAGCCAUGCCGCGUGCGGGAAGAAGGCCUUCGGGUUGUAAAGCCCUUUAGGCGGGGAAGAAAUGGCACGGGCGAAUACCCUGUGUCGAUGACGGUACCUGAAGAAUAAGCACCGGCUAACUCCGUGCCAGCAGCCGCGGUAAU